AUACUUACCUUGUUCCGAAUUCCCCAGCUCCAGAUUCGGGGGGUUCAGUGGGGGAGGCCUGCAUUGCACAUCGCGGAGUCGUUCCUCACUCCAUUGUCCUUCGGGGCCAUGGGGGGCGCAAUUUUUGAUUCUCCCACCGUUUUCAUUGCUGGC
rnacentral:snRNA from 17 species